UACGAAGGGGGCUAGCGUUGCUCGGAAUCACUGGGCGUAAAGCGCACGUAGGCGGGUCUUUGAGUCAGGGGUGAAAUCCUGGAGCUCAACUCCAGAACUGCCUUUGAUACUGAGGAUCUCGAGUCCGGGAGAGGUGAGUGGAACUCCGAGUGUAGAGGUGAAAUUCGUAGAUAUUCGGAAGAACACCAGUGGCGAAGGCGGCUCACUGGCCCGGUACUGACGCUGAGGUGCGAAAGCGUGGGGAGCAAACAGG
rnacentral:rRNA from 1 species